CUUCAACAGCGCCUCACAGGAAACUGGCCGUGGCCUGUGUUCCGGCUCCCUUCUCAUCCCCUUUUUCAGUUUCCACAUCUAAUCUCCUCAGUCUUCACAGUAGACUCACCAACCGUAGAGCCGCAGAGCCAGAAAAAGAAGGCUAAGCCAUGAAAGGGAAAUUUAAAUCUUUGCUCUUUCUUAUCAGCAAACCCCAGAUGGGAGAGCAAGGGCUUGAGGAAGGACAGAAGGACGGCCAUAAGACUAUGCAGUGCUGUGUUCUUUCCAGAGACUUGGGAUAUGGUUGCUAUGGUGGGCAGCUGGGGUGGCUCUAGUUUUUAUCCUUGUGUUGGUUGGUUUCUCAGUUUGCUCACUGAAAGCUGUCUCUAAAGAUGUACUUCAGUAAGCAACACAAACAGGCCCGGAGUUUCUGGGUGUGAAAUACAGGAAGAAAUACAAAGGCCUAAGAACGGACUUGAGAUAUGUCAUAUGCCCCGCAUUAACCUGAAAUCCACAACCCUCAGUAAAGACUGACGUUUUACUUAUACCAUUGAGAAGUUCUCGUGCUCGCUUCGGCAGCACAUAUACUAAAAUUGGAAUGAUACAGAGAAGACACAAUAGUGCCAUGGAACAUGUGGUUGUUGGCCUCGUUCUCAUCUUCUCCAAGUAGAAGGUUAUGUAUGUGGCUUAAUGUACAGCUAAGGGAAGAAAUUCCCUGAGUCUUUGACUGUGAUAUGGGAGACUGGAAUACUACUAUGAACAACCUACCGGUCUGAUGCUGAGCAGAUCAUAACGGCUUUGUUCUACCCAUCUUCACACAGGUUCCUGCGCAUGCCCAACUCACCGUGCUGCUGGGCGCAUAGAGAGAAUACAUCCAUCCCUUUGCAUUUCUCAUUGACUUCCUACCUUCUGCUAUGACAGCUAUCGCGACCAAAAUCGUAGGUUAAGCCUUGAAAGCAAGACUAUUCAACCCAAGUAUACAUGGGCUGUAUAUCUAAGUUUUCUUUUGCCACAUUUUUAAAUGUUAAAAAAAAACAUAGAAGCUAAUUCCUAACAGCUCAUUUACUAUAACAUAAUCAAAUAGUAUUACUUUGAUAUUCAGUCAAUAUGUACACAAUGUAUCAACGUAGUUAUUUUUAUAUUUGCCUUCAAAACGUGGUAUUUUAUACUCAAAGGACAUCUCAGCAUGGACUUUAUAUAUUUCACAAGCUUGGUAGCCACGUGUGACCAGCGGCUUUACAACCCCCACCCUCACCCCACUCUCCACUGUUGCCCUCUGCCCUGUGUGAUUGCCAAAAGCAAUGCUGUCACCUUCUGGGAAGAUCUCAGAGACUCACAUGCAAUUAAAAAUGGC
ensembl:lncRNA